AGAUGGCGACCGGCGCACGGGUGAGUAACACGUAUCCAACCUGCCGAUGACUCGGGGAUAGCCUUUCGAAAGAAAGAUUAAUACCCGAUGGCAUAGUUCUUCCGCAUGGUGGAACUAUUAAAGAAUUUCGGUCAUCGAUGGGGAUGCGUUCCAUUAGGUUGUUGGCGGGGUAACGGCCCACCAAGCCUUCGAUGGAUAGGGGUUCUGAGAGGAAGGUCCCCCCACAUUGGAACUGAGACACGGUCCAAACUCCUACGGGAGGCAGCAUG
rnacentral:rRNA from 1 species